AGUUUUAACAUACUUCAUGAAAUUGUGUGAUGAUAGGAGAGAAAACUCAUAAUCUCACUAAAUCCAUUAUUCAACGAUUCUAGUCAAACGAUGAUAUUAAAGUACUCAUGGUGUGGUUAAAUUAGACAACAACAGUUCCUUCUUUCGCAAAAAAUGUUACAUCAAGCUGAACAUAUUUAUACCUAAAGAACCCAUAGCUGGUCCAUCCACAGUUCCUGUUGUGAACAGCCAAGAGUUAUUACCAUCUGUAGAAGCACCCAGUACUGCUAGUUUGCUUACUACAAACGAUGAUGAAAUAAUUCAACAACUCAAAGAAAAAUUUCGUGAAACUAAUGACAAUAAUAUGAAGUAUCAUAUUCUCACGACGUUGAUGGUGUUAGUGUUUGAAUAGUGAACGCGAAACCGCUGACAAUCUCCGAAAAGUGGGUUUAUCAGUUGAAACCAGUGCAUUGUAAAAUCAGAGCAGUAUUCUUCCUGUGUUCAAGGGUAUUUUUUGUCCUAUAUUAGUGCAGUUCUUUCAUCAAAAAGGCCUUUACAAAAUUAUUUUUGAUGCUAAGUUACCUAAUACCGGCCAUCUAAUGACCGCCGUCUCAAUGCUUUAGU